rnacentral:rRNA from 1 species
AGCCCCAGUAAACGGCGGCCGUAACUAUAACGGUCCUAAGGUAGCGAAAUUCCUUGUCGGGUAAGUUCCGACCCGCACGAAAGGCGUAACGAUUUGGGCACUGUCUCAACGAGAGACUCGGUGAAAUCAUAGUACCUGUGAAGAUGCAGGUUACCCGCGACAGGACGGAAAGACCCCGUGGAGCUUUACUGUAGCCUGAUAUUGAAAUUCGGCACAGCUUGUACAGGAUAGGUAGGAGCCUUUGAAACGUGAGCGCUAGCUUACGUGGAGGCGCUGGUGGGAUACUACCCUAGCUGUGUUGGCUUUCUAACCCGCACCACUUAUCGUGGUGGGAGACAGUGUCAGGCGGGCAGUUUGACUGGGGCGGUCGCCUCCUAAAAGGUAACGGAGGCGCUCAAAGGUUCCCUCAGAAUGGUUGGAAAUCAUUCAUAGAGUGUAAAGGCAUAAGGGAGCUUGACUGCGAGACCUACAAGUCGAGCAGGGUCGAAAGACGGACUUAGUGAUCCGGUGGUUCCGC